UACGGAGGGUGCAAGCGUUAUCCGGAUUUACUGGGUUUAAAGGGUGCGUAGGCGGCCCUGUAAGUCAGUGCUGAAAUAUCCCAGCUUAACUGGGAGGGUGGCAUUGAUACUGCGGGGCUAGAGUACAGAUGAGGUAGGCGGAAUUGACGGUGUAGCGGUGAAAUGCUUAGAUAUCGUCAAGAACACCUAUAGCGAAGGCAGCUUACUAGGCUGUAACUGACGCUGAGGCACGAAAGUGUGGGGAUCAAACAGG
rnacentral:rRNA from 1 species